CUUUUCAGGAUAACGGUUUUGCUAAAACGCAUUGGUUAAUUUGUCUCAUAUUGCAUUAUUCGAGUAAUUAUAGAAUCCUGCAUGUAUCUUGUGGACCCGGGCACAAAACACAUGCUAGGUGCUAUAAUUAUCAAAGGUCCACUGAAUUGUAGCUAUUCGAGGCACAUGUGAUCGAUUUAUUGAAGAACUUUUGACCAAUUCGGGAAAGCGACAAAGGCGCAAAUCGCUGAUCUCUUAUGUUCUCUCAAAUGUUUUCAACUAUAGCGAUUUAAUGAUCUUUUUCUAAUUUGAAAGGAAAUCAGAUGGAAUUCUUGAAGCAUCACGACAAUUUUGAGCAAUAACAAGGUAUGGAUGGUGUAGAUUCCCUCUCGAACGAGACAACCAAGCGGGUGGAGGAAAACCACGAUGGUGUCUUAAAUCUUUCAUGCUGCUCCUUCCUCUAACAGGAAUAAAAUAAAACGAAAUAGAACUUGCUGGUGUACGUCUUGGAGCAAUGAUCCAAUUUUCGAGCGACAAAGCAAUUAGCCUUUCCACGAUAAGCGUCUUUCUUGUAUAAUGGUGUAGUUUUCCUAAUUGUUGAUUUUUUUUAACUAGAACUUGAGGGCCUAGGCAUUUUAUUUUGUUUAGCCAGAGUUAGAGGCGCACUUGAUCGAAUUCUUGAAGUUCUUUGAUCAGUUCGUGAAGACAACGAAGCUUUAUGCGGUUCUUCUUACCUUAAUAGAUCCAAUUUGCAAAGGACGAUGUCCACUGAAUUGUAGCUAUUCGAGGCACAUGUGAUCGAUUUAUUGAAGAACUUUUGACCAAUUCGGGAAAGCGACAAAGGCGCAAAUCGCUGAUCUCUUAUGUUCUCUCAAAUGUUUUCAACUAUAGCGAUUUAAUGAUCUUUUUCUAAUUUGAAAGGAAAUCAGAUGGAAUUCUUGAAGCAUCACGACAAUUUUGAGCAAUAACAAGGUAUGGAUGGUGUAGAUUCCCUCUCGAACGAGACAACCAAGCGGGUGGAGGAAAACCACGAUGGUGUCUUAAAUCUUUCAUGCUGCUCCUUCCUCUAACAGGAAUAAAAUAAAACGAAAUAGAACUUGCUGGUGUACGUCUUGGAGCAAUGAUCCAAUUUUCGAGCGACAAAGCAAUUAGCCUUUCCACGAUAAGCGUCUUUCUUGUAUAAUGGUGUAGUUUUCCUAAUUGUUGAUUUUUUUUAACUAGAACUUGAGGGCCUAGGCAUUUUAUUUUGUUUAGCCAGAGUUAGAGGCGCACUUGAUCGAAUUCUUGAAGUUCUUUGAUCAGUUCGUGAAGACAACGAAGCUUUAUGCGGUUCUUCUUACCUUAAUAGAUCCAAUUUGCAAAGGACGAUGUCCACUGAAUUGUAGCUAUUCGAGGCACAUGUGAUCGAUUUAUUGAAGAACUUUUGACCAAUUCGGGAAAGCGACAAAGGCGCAAAUCGCUGAUCUCUUAUGUUCUCUCAAAUGUUUUCAACUAUAGCGAUUUAAUGAUCUUUUUCUAAUUUGAAAGGAAAUCAGAUGGAAUUCUUGAAGCAUCACGACAAUUUUGAGCAAUAACAAGGUAUGGAUGGUGUAGAUUCCCUCUCGAACGAGACAACCAAGCGGGUGGAGGAAAACCACGAUGGUGUCUUAAAUCUUUCAUGCUGCUCCUUCCUCUAACUGGAAUAAAAUAAAACGAAAUAGAACUUGCUGGUGUACGUCUUGGAGCAAUGAUCCAAUUUUCGAGCGACAAAGCAAUUAGCCUUUCCACGCCAGAGUUAGAGGCGCACUUGAUCGAAUUCUUGAAGUUCUUUGAUCAGUUCGUGAAAACAACGAAGGAUACUUCCAUGCCAUCUUCUCUUCUUUUCAAGAUAACGAUCUUGCGAAAAUGCAUUGAUUAAUUUGUCCCAUGUUGCAUUAUUUGCAUUGUACUUAGAACUAAACACCCUUCUGUUUUCUACAGCUUUAUGCAGUUCUUCUUUCCUCAAUAGAUCCAAUUUACAAAGGACGAUGCAAUCAACUUUUUCAGGCUCCACUGAAUUGUAGCUAUUUGAGGCACAUGUGAUCGAUUUCUUGGAAGUAUUUUUGACCAAUUCAGGAAGGCGACAAAGGCGCACCUCACCGAUUUCUUAUGUUCUCUCAAAUGUUGUCAACAAUGGCGAUUUAAUGAUCCUUUUCUAAUUUGAAAGCACACCAGAUUGAAUUCUUGAAGCACCACGACAAGUUUGAGCUACUACUAGGGGUAUGGAUGGUGUAGAAUCCCUCGCGAACGAGAAUACCAAGCGGGUGGAGGAAAACCAUGAUGGUGUCUGAAAUCUUUCAUGCGCCUCCUUCCUCUAACUGAAAUAAAAUAAAACGAAAGAGAACUUGCUGGUGUACGUCUUGGAGCAAUGAUCCUAUUUUCGAGCGACAAAGCAAUUAGCCUUUCCACGCCAGAGUUAGAGGUGCACUUGAUCGAAUUCUUGAAGUUCUUUGAUCAGUUCGUGAAGACAACGAAGGAUACUUCCAUGCCAUCUUCUCUUCUUUUCAGGAUAACGGUCUUGCGAAAAUGCAUUGGUUAAUUUGUCCCAUGUUGCAUUAUUUACAUUGUACUUAGAACUAAACACCCUUUUGUUUUCUACAGCUUUAUGCAGUUCUUCUUUCCUCAAUAGAUCCAAUUUACAAAGGACGAUGCAAUCAGCUUUUUCAGGAUAACAGUUUAGCUAAAAUGCAUUGGUUAAUUUGUCUCUUAUUGCAUUAUUCGAGUAAUUGUAACAUCCUGCAUGUAUCUUGUGUACCCGGGCACAAAACACAUGCUAGGUGCUAUAAUUAACUAAGGUUACUUUAGAGUCCAUUCUAGUUAUUGUGUUCAGUUCUUGGCUUGUUAUUUUUUUGUCUUCGUUCAGAUGCCCUUAUGGAAAUGUUUUCUAUUUGUUUUCAGCUCCACUGAUUUGUAGCUAUUCAAGGCACAUGUGAUCGAUUUCUUGAAGUACUUUUGACAAAUUCGGUAAAAAGACAAAGGCGCACCUCACCGAUCUCUGAUGUUUUCUCAAAUUAUGUCGACAAUGGCAAUUUAGCGAUCUUUUUCUAAUUUGAAAGCACACCUGAUUGAAUUCUUGAAGCACCAUGAAAAGUUUGAGCUUCUACAAGGGGUAUGGAUGGUGUAGAUUCCCUCGCGAACGAGACAACAAAGCGGUUGGAGGAAAACCACGAUGGUGUCUGAGAUCUUUCAUGCGCCUCCUUCCUCUAACUGAAAUAAAAUAAAACGAAAGAGAAAACUCGAGGGGCACUGAAUCAACAACGGGCCAAGGCAUUUUAUCGUGCUUAGCCAAAGUUGGAGGCGCACUUGAAAAUCUUGAAGUUCUAUGACCUGUUCGUGAAGACAACGAAGUUUAAUUACAUGCCAUCUUCUCUUCUUUUCAGGAUAACGCUCUAUGGAGUUCUUAUUUCCUCAAAGGAUCCCAUUUGCAAAGGACGAUGCAAUCCGCCUUUUCAGGAUAACGGUUUUGCUUAAACGCAUUGUUUAAUUUGUCCCAUAUUGCAUUAUUCGAGUAAUUACAGAAUCCUGCAUGUAUCUUGUGUACCCGGGCACAAAACACAUGCAAGGUGCUAUAAUUAACUAAGGUUACUUUAGAGUCCAUUCUAGUUAUUGUUUUCAAUUCUUGUCUUGUUAUUUGAUGUCUGCGUUCAGAUUGCCUUAUGAAAAUGUUUUCUAUUUGUUUUCAGCUCCACUGAAUUGUAGCUAUUGUAGGCACAAGUGAUCGAUUUCUUGGAGUAUUUUUGACCAAUUCAGGAAGGCGACAAAGGCGCACCUCACCGAUCUCUUAUGUUCUCUCAAAUGUUGUCUACAAUGGAGAUUUAAUGAUCUUUUUCUAAUUUGAAAGCUUACCAGAUUGAAUUCUUGAAGCACCACGACAAGUUUGAGCAACUACAACGGGUAUGGAUGGUGUAGAUAUCCUCGCGAACGAGACAACCGUGCCGGUGGAGGAUAACCACGAUGGUGUCUGAAAUCUUUCAUGCUGCUCCUUCCUCUAACUGGAAUAAAAUAAAACGAACUAGAACUUGCUGGUGUACGUCUUGGAGCAAUGAUCCUAUUUUCGAGCGACAAAGCAAUUAGCCUUUCCACGCUUGCUGGUGUACGUCUUGGAGCAAUGAUCCUAUUUUCGAGCGACAAAGCAAUUAGCCUUUCCACGCCAGAGUUAGUGGCGCACUUGAUCGAAUUCUUGAAGUUCUUUGAUCAGUUCGUGAAGACAACGAAGGAUACUUCCAUGCCAUCUUCUCUUCUUUUCAAGAUAACGCUUUAUGCAGUUCUUCUUUCCUCAAUAGAUCCAAUUUACAAAGGACGAUGCAAUCAGCUUUUUCAGGCUCCACUGAAUUGUAGCUAUUUGAGGCACAUGUGAUCGAUUUCUUGGAAUUAUUUUUGACCAAUUCAGGAAGGCGACAAAGGCGCACCUCACCAAUUUCUUAUGUUCUCUCAAAUGUUGUCAACAAUGGCGAUUUAAUGAUCUUUUUCUAAUUAGAAAGCACACCAGAUUGAAUUCUUGAUGCACCACGACAAGUUUGAGCUACUACAAGGGGUAUGGAUGGUGUAGAUUCCCUCGCUAACGAGACUACCAAGCGGGAGGAGGAAAACCACGAUGGUGUCUGAAAUCUUUCAUGCGCCUCCUACCUCUAACUGAAAUAAAAUAAAACGAAAGAGAACUUGCUGGUGUUCGUCUUGGAGCAAUGAUCCUAUUUUCGAGUGACAAAGCAAUUAUCUUUUCCACGGUAAGUGUCUUUCUUGUAUAUUGGUGUUGUUAUCCUAAUUGUUGAUUUUUUUAACCUAGAACUCGUGGGGCACUGAAACAACAACGGGCCAAGGCAUUUUAUCGUGUUUAGCCAAAGUUGGAGGUGCACUUAAUCGAAUUCUUGAAGUUGUUUGACCUGUUCGUGAAGACAACGAAGCUUUAUGCAGUUCUUCUUUCCUCAAUAGAUCCAAUUUGCAAAGGACGAUGCAACCAGCCUUUUCAGGAUAACGGUUUUGCUAAAACGCAUUGGUUAAUUUGUCCCAUAUUGCAUUAUUCGAGUAAUUAUAGAAUCCUGCAUGUAUCUUGUGGACCCGAGCACAAAACACAUGCUAGGUGCUAUAAUUAACUAAUGUUACUUUAAAGUCCAUUCUAGUUAUUGUGUUCAGUUCUUGGCAUGUUAUUUUUUUGUCUGCGUUCAGAUGCCCUUAAGGAAAUGUUUUCUAUUUGUUUUCAGGUCCACUGAAUUGUAGUUAGUCGAGGCAAAUGUGAUCGAUUUAUUGAAGUACUUUUGACCAAUUCGGGAAAGCGACAAAGGCGCACCUCGCCGAUCUCUUAUAUUCUCUCAAAUGUUUUCUACAAUGGCGAUUUAAUGAUCUUUUUCUAAUUUGAAAGGAAACCAGAUUGAAUUCUUGAAGCAUCACGACAAGUUUUAGCAAUAACAAGGGGUAUGGGUGGUGUAGAUUCCCUCUCGAACGAGACAACCAAGCGGGUGGAGGAAAACCACGAUGGUGUCUUAAAUCUUUCAUGCUGCUCCUUCCUCUAACUGGAAUAAAAUAAAACGAAAGAGAACUUGCUGGUGUACGUCUUUGAGCAAUGAUUCUAUUUUCGAGCGACAAAGCAAUUAGCCUUUCCACGCCAGAGUUAGAGGCGCACUUGAUCGAAUUCUUGAAGUUCUUUGAUCAGUUCGUGAAGACAACGAAGGAUACUUCCGUGCCAUCUUCUCUUCUUUUCAAGAUAACGCUUUAUGCAGUUCUUCUUUCCUCAAUAGAUCCAAUUUACAAAGGACGAUGCAAUCAGCUUUUUCAGGAUAACGGUUUUGCUAAAAUGCAUUGGUUAAUUUGUCUCAUAUUGCAUUAUUCGAGUAAUUGUAGAAUCCUGCAUGUAUUUUGUGUCCCCGGGCACAAAACACAUGCUAGGUGCUAUAAUUGACUAAGGUUACUUUAGAGUCCAUUCUAGUUAUUGUUUUCAGGUCUUGGGUUGUUAUUUUUUUUUUGGCAUUCAGAUGCCCUUAUGGAAAUGUUUUCUAUUUGGUUUCCGCUCCACUGAAUUGUAGCUAUUGGAGGCACAUGUGAUCGAUUUCUUGAAGUACUUUUGACCAAUUCGGUAAAGCGACAAAGGCGCACUUCACCGAUCUCUGAUCUCUCAAAUGUUUUCAACAAUGGCGAUUUAAUGAUCCUUUUCUAAUUUGAAAGCACACCAGAUUGAAUUCUUGAAGCACCACGACAAGUUUGAGCUACUACUAGGGGUAUGGAUGGUGUAGAAUCCCUCGCGAACGAGAAUACCAAGGGGGUGGAGGAAAACCAUGAUGGUGUCUGAAAUCUUUCAUGCGCCUCCUUCCUCUAACUGAAAUAAAAUAAAACGAAAGACAACUUGCUGGUGUACAUCUUGGAGCAAUGAUCCUAUUUUCGAGCGACAAAGCAAUUAGCCUUUCCACGCCAGAGUUAGAGGCGCACUUGAUCGAAUUCUUGAAGUUCUUUGAUCAGUUCGUGAAGACAACGAAGGAUACUUCCAUGCCAUCUUCUCUUCUUUUCAGGAUAACGCUUUAUGCAGUUCUUCUUUCCUUAAUGGAUCCAAUUUACAAAGGACGGUGCAAUCAGCUUUUUCAGGAUAGCAGUUUUGCUAAAAUGCAUUGGUUAAUUUGUCUCUUAUUGCAUUAUUCGAGUAAUUGUAACAUCCUGCAUGUAUCUUGUGUACCCGGGCACAAAACACAUGCUAGCUCCACUGAAUUGUAGCUAUUCAAGGCACAUGUGAUCGAUUUCUUGAAGUACUUUUGACCAAUUCGGUUAAAAGACAAAGGCGCACCUCACCGAUCUCUGAUGUUCUCUCAAAUUAUGUCGACAAUGGCGAUUUAGCGAUCUUUUUCUAAUUUGAAAGCACACCUGAUUGAAUUCUUGAAGCACCACGAAAAGUUUGAGCUUCUACAAGGGGUAUGGAUGGUGUAGAUUCCCUCGCGAACGAGACAACCAAGCGGGUGGAGGAAAACCACGAUGGUGUCUGAAAUCUUUCAUGCGCCUCCUUCCUCUAACUGAAAUAAAAUAAAACGAAAGAGAAGUGAGUUCUCUAAACGCUCGGUAUGACUGAUAUAGUCCAUCUUAACAUUCUAUUUAGCCCCUGCAAGAUAUUCUUUUACUUUCUCUAGCUUGCUGGUGUACGUCUUGGAGCAAUAAUCCUAUUUUCGAGCAACAAAGCAAUUAUCUUUUCAACGGUAAGUGUCUUUCUUGUAUAUUGGUGUUGUUAUCCUAAUUGUUGAUUUUUUUAAACUAGAACUCGAGGGGCACUGAAUCAACAACGGGCCAAGGCAUUUUAUCGUGCUUAGCCAAAGUUGGAGGCGCACUUGAAAAUCUUGAAGUUCUAUGACCUGUUCGUGAAGACAACGAAGUUUAAUUACAUGCCAUCUUCUCUUCUUUUCAGGAUAACGCUCUAUGGAGUUCUUAUUUCCUCAAUGGAUCCCAUUUGCAAAGGACGAUGCAAUCCGCCUUUUCAGGAUAACGGUUUUGCUUAAACGCAUUGUUUAAUUUGUCCCAUAUUGCAUUAUUCGAGUAAUUAUAGAAUCCUGCAUGUAUCUUGUGUACCCGGGCACAAAACACAUGUAAGGUGCUAUAAUUAACUAAGGUUACUUUAGAGUCCAUUCUAGUUAUUGUUUUCAAUUCUUGUCUUGUUAUUUGAUGUCUGCGUUCAGAUUGCCUUAUGAAAAUGUUUUCUAUCAGAUUGCCUUAUGAAAAUGUUUUCUAUUUGUUUUCAGCUCCACUGAAUUGUAGCUAUGGUAGGCACAAGUGAUCGAUUUCUUGAAGUAUUUUUGACCAAUUCAGGAAGGCGACAAAGGCGCACCUCACCGAUCUCUUAUGUUCUCUCAAAUGUUGUCUACAAUGGAGAUUUAAUGAUCUUUUUCUAAUUUGAAAGCUUACCAGAUUGAAUUCUUGGAGCACCACGACAAGUUUGAGCAACUACAAGGGGUAUGGAUGGUGUAGAUUCCCUCGCGAACGCGACAACCGUGCCGGUGGAGGAUAACCACGAUGGUGUCUGAAAUCUUUCAUGCUGCUCCUUCCUCUAACUGGAAUAAAAUAAAACGAACUAGAAGUGAGUGCACUAAACGCUCGGGAUGACCGAUAUAGUCCAUUUUAAUAUUCUAUUUAGCCCCUGGCAAUAUUUUCUUUUACUUUCUCUAGCUUGCUGGUGUACGUCUUGGAGCAAUGAUCCUAUUUAAGAUCGACAAAGCAAUUAGCCUUUCCACGGUAAGAGUCUUUCUUGUAUAAUGGUGUAGUUAUCCUAAUUGUUGAUUUUUUAAAACUAGAACUCGAGGGGCACUGAAACAACAACGGGCCAAGGCAUUUUAUCGUGUUUACCCAAAGUUGAAAGCGCCCUUGAUCGAAUUCUUGAAUUUCUUUGACCAGUUCGUGAAGACAACGAAGCUUUAUGCAGUUCUUCUUUCCUCAAUAGAUCCAAUUUGCAAAGGACGAUGCAAUCAGCAUUUUCAGGAUAACGAUUUUGCUAAAACGCAUUGGUUAAUUUGUCCCAUAUUGCAUUAUUCGAGUAAUUAUAGAAUCCUGCAUUUAUCUUGUGUACCCGGGCACAAAACACAUGCAAGGUGCUAUAAUUAACUAAGGUUACUUUAGAGUCCAUUCUAGUUAUUGUGUUCAAUUCUUGUCUUGUUAUUUUGUGUCUGUGUUCAGAUGCCCUUAUGGAAAUGUUUUCUGUUUGUUUUCAGCUCCACUGAAUUGUAGCUAUUCUAGGCACAAGUGAUCGAUUUCUUGAAGUAUUUUUGACCAAUUCAGGAAGGCGACAAAGGCGCACCUCACCGAUCUCUUAUGUUCUCUAAAAUGUUGUCAACAAUGGAGAUUUAAUUAUCUUUUUCUAAUUCGAAAGCUCACCAGAUUGAAUUCUUGAAGCACCUUGACAAGUUUGAGCAACUACAAGGGGUAUGGAUGGUGUAGAUUCCCUCGCGAACAAGACAACCAUGCCGGUGGAGGAAAACCACGAUGGUGUCUUAAAUCUUUCAUGCUGCUCCUUCCUCUAACUGGAAUAAAAUAAAACGAAAGAGAACUUGCUGGUGUAUGUCUUGGAGCAGUGAUCCUAUUUUAGAUCGAUAAAGCAAUUAGCCUUUCCACGCUUUAUGCAGUUCUUCUUUCCUCAAUAGAUUCAAUUUGCAAAGGACAAUGCAAUCAGCCUUUUCAAGAUAAUGGUUUUGCUGAAAUGCAUUGGUUAAUUUGUCCCAUACUGCAUUAUUCGAGUAAUUAUAGAACCCUGCAUGUAUCUUGUGUACCCGGGCACAAAACACAUGCAAGGUGCUAUAAUUAACUAAGGUUACUUUAAAGUCCAUUCUAGUUAUUGUGUUCAAUUCUUCUCUUGUUAUUUUUUUGUCUGCGUUGAGAUGCCCUUAUGGAAAUGUUUUAUAUUUGUUUUCAGCUCCACUGAAUUGUAGCUAUUUGAGGCACAUGUGAUCGAUUUCUUGAAGUAUUUUUGAUCAAUUCAGGAAGGCGACAAAGGUGCACCUCACCGAUCUCUUAUGUUCUCUCAAAUGUUGUCAACAACGGCGAUUUAAUGAACUUUUUCUAAUUUGAAAGCACACCGGAUUGAAUUCUUGAAGCACCAAGACAAGUUUGAGUAACUACAAGGGGUAUGCAUGGUGCAGAUUCCCUCUCGAACGAGACAACCAGGCGGGCGGAGGAAAACCACGAUGGUGUCAUAAAUCUUUCAUGCGGCUCCUUCCUCUAACUGAAAUAAAAUAAAACGAAAGAGAACCCGUGCCAACCCUAAAGCACAUGCUACCGCUGCUGAAGUCUAUAAAAGGAUGAAGACCUAAAACGUGAAGUGUACCGAAGCUGAUAAGAGAGAUCGUGUGUUUUAGGAUUUGUUAUUGUGCUUCGUCCUUGUUAUUUGUGAAUCCUCUUUGCUCACUGAUUCUAUAAAGCAAAGAAGGGUUCUGUGUUGUUUGAUUAUAUUCAAACUCUGAUUGUUAUUGUGUUUACCAAUCACUGUGGCAGUGAUUGAGAGAAAGUGAGAGGGGCUCUCAUACUUAGGUUGGGAUUCUAAGUAGAAAUACACUGGGUAGAUUAGGAAGUGAACUAUGAACUGAGUUGUUCAUGAGUGUCUGUAAUUCCUGAGUCUUGAGAUAGUGGAUUUCCUUU